rnacentral:rRNA from 1 species
AAACUAACAAGGAUUCCCCUAGUAGCGGCGAGCGAAGCGGGAAAAGCUCAAAUUUGUAAUCUGGCGUCUACGACGUCCGAGUUGUAAUCUCGAGAAGUGUUUUCCGUGAUAGACCGCAUACAAGUCUCUUGGAACAGAGCGUCAUAGUGGUGAGAACCCAGUACACGAUGCGGAUGCCUAUUACUUUGUGAUACACUUUCGAAGAGUCGAGUUGUUUGGGAAUGCAGCUCAAAUUGGGUGGUAAAUUCCAUCUAAAGCUAAAUAUUGGCGAGAGACCGAUAGCGAACAAGUACCGUGAGGGAAAGAUGAAAAGCACUUUGGAAAGAGAGUUAACAGUACGUGAAAUUGUUGGAAGGGAAACACAUGCAGCCAGACUUGCUAUUCGGGGCAACUCGAUUGGCAGGCCCGCAUCAGUUUUUCGGGGCGGAAAAGCAUAGAGAGAAGGUAGCAAUUUCGGUUGUGUUAUAGCUCUUUAUUGGAUUCGCCCUGGGGGACUGAGGAACGCAGCGUGCUUUUAGCAUAAGCUUCGGCUUAUCCACGCUUAGGAUGCGGGUGUAAUGGCUGUAUAUGAC